rnacentral:rRNA from 1 species
GACGAACGCUGGCGGCGUGCUUAACACAUGCAAGUCGAACGGAAAGGCGCUGCGCUUGUGGCGUGCUCGAGUGGCGAACGGGUGAGUAAAACGUGAGUAACCCGUCCCUGACUUUGGGAUAACACCAGGAAACUGGGGCUAAUACAGGAUAGGAGCUCCUGCUGCGCGGGGGGGGUUGGAAAGUGUCGGCGGUUUGGGAUGGACUCGCGGCUUACCAGCUUGUUGGGGGGGUAGUGGCUUACCAAGGCUUUGACGGGUAGCCGGCAUGAGAGCGUGACCGGCCACCUUGGGCCUGCGAUACGGCCCAGACUCCUACGGGCGGCAGCAGUGGGGAAUCUUGCGCAGUGGGCGGACGCCUGAUGCAGCAACGCCGCGUGCGGGAUGCCGGCCUUCUGGUUGUAAACCGCUUUCGCCUGUGACGAAGCGUGAGUGACGGUAAUGGGUAAGGAAGCACCGGCUAACUACGUG